CUUAUGGGUGGCGAGUGGCGGACGGGUGAGGAAUACAUCGGAAUCUACCUUUUCGUGGGGGAUAACGUAGGGAAACUUACGCUAAUACCGCAUACGACCUUCGGGUGAAAGCAGGGGACCUUCGGGCCUUGCGCGGAUAGAUGAGCCGAUGUCGGAUUAGCUAGUUGGCGGGGUAAAGGCCCACCAAGGCGACGAUCCGUAGCUGGUCUGAGAGGAUGAUCAGCCACACUGGAACUGAGACACGGUCCAGACUCCUACGGGAGGCAGCAGUGGGGAAUAUUGGACAAUGGGCGCAAGCCUGAUCCAGCCAUACCGCGUGGGUGAAGAAGGCCUUCGGGUUGUAAAGCCCUUUUGUUGGGAAAGAAAAGCAGCCGGCUAAUACCCGGUUGUUCUGACGGUACCCAAAGAAUAAGCACCGGCUAACUUCGUGCCAGCAGCCGCGGUAAUACGAAGGGUGCAAGCGUUACUCGGAAUUACUGGGCGUAAAGCGUGCGUAGGUGGUUGUUUAAGUCUGUUGUGAAAGCCCUGGGCUCAACCUGGGAAUUGCAGUGGAUACUGGGCGAC
rnacentral:rRNA from 1 species